GACGUAGGGCGCGAGCGUUGUCCGGAUUUAUUGGGCGUAAAGAGCUCGUAGGCGGCUUGUCGCGUCGAAUGUGAAAACUCGGGGCUCAACUCCGAGCUUGCAUUCGAUACGGGCAGGCUAGAGUCCGGAAGGGGCGAGUGGAAUUCCUGGUGUAGCGGUGAAAUGCGCAGAUAUCAGGAGGAACACCGAUGGCGAAGGCAGCUCGCUGGGACGGUACUGACGCUGAGACGCGAAAGCGUGGGGAGCAAACAGG
rnacentral:rRNA from 1 species